rnacentral:rRNA from 1 species
UAAUACGAAGGGGGCGAGCGUUGUUCGGAAUUACUGGGCGUAAAGGGCGCGUAGGCGGCGCACCAAGUCAGGCGUGAAAGCCCUGGGCUUAACCCAGGAAUUGCGUUUGAGACUGGCGUGCUGGAGUGCAGGAGAGGUCGGCGGAAUUCCCAGUGUAGAGGUGAAAUUCGUAGAGAUUGGGAAGAACACCGGUGGCGUAGGCGGCCGACUGGACUGUAACUGACGCUGAGGCGCGAAAGCGUGGGGAGCAAACAGGAUUAGAUACCCUGGUAGUCCACGCCGUAAACGAUGUGCGCUAGCCGUUGGGGGCCCUAGGCCCUCGGUGGCGCAGCUAACGCAUUAAGCGCACCGCCUGGGGAGUACGGCCGCAAGGUUA